GGAGAUGCGUGUGCCUCAUGUCCUGCGUGUAUCCAGAGAAGAUAAACCUGGUGACAAGGAUACAGAAUGUGCGAUUCUCUAAAACGAAAUCCAGAAUGUCAUGAAUCAGUUAAAGAAGGAGAUUCAUCUGACUUUCCUAUAGAUGACGGAAUAAUGUGUAGAUACAUCUGACAUUUGUGUUAAUCUCAUUGAUUCAUUCACGAUUCCACAUGAUAUUAAUACAGAAAAGAAAUUAACACGAUGACACUGUA